AGUAACGGCGAGUGAAGCGGUAAUAGCUCAAAUUUGAAAUCUGGCUCCCUGCGGAGUCCGAGUUGUAAUUUGUAGAAGAUGCUUUGGGUGCUCGGCCUGGCCUAAGUUCCUUGGAACAGGACGUCAUAGAGGGUGAGAAUCCCGUAUGCGGCCGGCGUCGACGCCCGUGUAAAGCUCUUUCGACGAGUCGAGUUGUUUGGGAAUGCAGCUCAAAAUGGGUGGUAAAUUUCAUCUAAAGCUAAAUAUGGGCCAGAGACCGAUAGCGCACAAGUAGAGUGAUCGAAAGAUGAAAAGCACUUUGGAAAGAGAGUUAAACAGUACGUGAAAUUGUUGAAAGGGAAGCGCUUGCAACCAGACUUGGGCGUCGCUGAUCAUCCAAAGUUCUCUUUGGUGCACUCGACGACGUACAGGCCAGCAUCGGUUGGGGUGGUGGGAGAAAGGUUGUUGGAACGUGGCUCUUUUCGGAGAGUGUUAUAGCCUGCAACGCAAUACCGCCUACCCCGACCGAGGACCGCGCUUCGGCUAGGAUGCUGGCGUAAUGGUUGUAAGCGACCCGUCUUGAAACACGGACCAAGGAGUCUAACAUCUAUGCGAGUGUUUGGGUGUGAAACCCAUGCGCGGAAUGAAAGUGAACGUAGGUGAGAACCCUUCGAGGGGGCAUCAUCGACCGAUCCUGAUGUCUUCGGAUGGAUUUGAGUAAGAGCAUAGCUGUUGGGA
rnacentral:rRNA from 1 species